GACGAACGCUGGCGGCGUGCUUAACACAUGCAAGUCGAACGGAAAGGCCCUGCUUGCAGGGUACUCGAGUGGCGAACGGGUGAGUAACACGUGGGUGAUCUGCCCUGCACUUCGGGAUAAGCUUGGGAAACUGGGUCUAAUACCGGAUAGGAGCCAUCUUUAGUGUGGUGGUUGGAAAGUUUUUUCGGUGUAGGAUGAGCUCGCGGCCUAUCAGCUUGUUGGUGGGGUAAUGGCCUACCAAGGCGGCGACGGGUAGCCGGCCUGAGAGGGUGUACGGCCACAUUGGGACUGAGAUACGGCCCAGACUCCUACGGGAGGCAGCAGUGGGGAAUAUUGCACAAUGGGCGCAAGCCUGAUGCAGCGACGCCGCGUGGGGAUGAAGGCCUUCGGGUUGUAAACUCCUUUCGCUAGGGACGAAGCUUUUUGUGACGGUACCUAGAUAAGAAGCACCGGCUAACUACGUG
rnacentral:rRNA from 1 species